rnacentral:rRNA from 1 species
GACAGAGGGUGCAAACGUUGUUCGGAAUUACUGGGCGUAAAGCGCAUGUAGGCGGCCAAGCAGGUCGGAUGUGAAAUCCCUCGGCUCAACCAAGGAAGUGCAUUCGAAACCGCAUGGCUGGAGUCCCGGAGAGGGCAGUGGAAUUCUCGGUGUAGAGGUGAAAUGCGUAGAUAUCGGGAGGAACACCUGUGGCGAAAGCGGCUCACUGGACCAUAACUGACGCUGAUGCACGAAAGCUGGGGGAGCAAACAGG